AUUGAACGCUGGCGGCAGGCCUAACACAUGCAAGUCGAACGAGUGUCGGACGGGUUCGUAAUGUCUGGGAAACUGCCUGUUGGAGGGGGAUAACUACUCGAAACGUUCGCUAAUACCCCCUACCAUCGUAUUUGCCCAUAUUGGUUUAGCUAGUAGGUGGGGUAAAGGCUCACUUGGGCGACGAUCCCUAGCUUGUGUGAGAGGAUGACAAGCCAGACUGUAACUGGGACACGGUCCAGACUUCUACGGGAGUCAGCAGUGGGGAAUAUUGCACAUUGGGCUCAAGCCGUAUGCAGCCAUGCCGCGUGUAUGAAGAAGGCCUUCGGGUUGUAAAGUACUUUCAGCGGGGAGGCGGUAACCGAAGAAGAAGCACCGGCUAACUCCGUGCCAGCAGCCGCGGUAAUAG
rnacentral:rRNA from 1 species